CCUACGGGCGGCAGCAGUGGGGAAUAUUGGACAAUGGGGGCAACCCUGCUCCAGCCAUGCCGCGUGUGUGAAGAAGGCCCUCGGGUUGUAAAGCACUUUCAGUGAGGAAGAACGCCUGGUGGUUAAUACCCAUCAGGAAAGACAUCACUCACAGAAGAAGCACCGGCUAACUCCGUGCCAGCAGCCGCGGUAAUACGGAGGGUGCGAGCGUUAAUCGGAAUUACUGGGCGUAAAGCGCGCGUAGGUGGCUUGAUAAGCCGGUUGUGAAAGCCCCGGGCUCAACCUGGGAACGGCAUCCGGAACUGUCAAGCUAGAGUGCAGGAGAGGAAGGUAGAAUUCCCGGUGUAGCGGUGAAAUGCGUAGAGAUUGGGAGGAAUACCAGUGGCGAAGGCGGCCUUCUGGACUGACACUGACACUGAGGUGCGAAAGCGUGGGUAGCAAACAGGAUUAGAUACCCUGGUAGUC
rnacentral:rRNA from 1 species